rnacentral:piRNA from 1 species
UAAUAUGUCCAAAGCUUAGAGGCCUUCACU